GGGGGAAAAUUAAUAAAUCUAAAAAUAAUAAAAGAAUUUUUAAUAUUGGGGGAUAUUAAAGUAUUUUUUUAAAAAAAAUAAAAAGAAUUAUAGUUAAUUAGUAUUGUAAAAUAAAUUUGAAAUAUUUGAAAAUAAAUUAUUUUUAAAGUAAUUUUUAUUUAAUGUAUCUUGUGUAUCAGAGUUUAUUAAAAAAUAUUUUUUAAUAAAAAAAAUCUCGAAUUUAAAAGAGUUAAUUAAUUAUAAAAUUUAAUGUAGAAUAAUUAUUUUAAAUAAUUAAUUAGAAAUGAAAUGUUAAUCGUUUUUAAAUAUAUCUAGUUUUUUUAGAAAUAAAUUUAAUUUAAAAUUUAAAAAAUUUUAUUAUAUAAUAAGAAUUAAUGAUAAAAUAUUUGAAAUUAAAUAUAUUAAGGGAUAAGCUUUAAUAUAAAAAUUUAUAAUUAAAAUUAAGUUUAAAUAAAAAUUUUAAAAUUUAUAUUGUUUAGAAAUUAUAAUUUAUUAUAAAAAAUUUUAUUUUAAAUAAAUUUAAUAAAAAUUUAAUUUUAUAUAAAAUAAUAAUUUUUAAUUAAAUAAAAUUAGUAAUAAUGAUAAAAUUAGUAUAUUAAAUUUAAAAAAUUAUUAAAAUAAUUAAAAUUAAAUUGAAGGAAUUCGGCAAAUAUGUAUAUUCACUUGUUUAUCAAAAACAUGUCUUUUAGAUAAUAAUUUAAAGUCUAAUCUGCCCACUGAUAAAAUUAUAUUAAAGGGCUGCAGUAUAUUGACUGUACAAAGGUAGCAUAAUCAAUAGUCUUUUAAUUGAAGACUUGUAUGAAGGAUUUGAUGAAAUAUAAACUGUCUCUAAUUUAUAUAAUGGAAUUUAAUUUUUUAGUUAAAAAGCUAAAAUGUUUUUAAAAGACGAGAAGACCCUAUAGAGUUUUAUAUUAAUUUUAUUUAAGAUUAUAUUUAUAAUUAUAAAUUAAAAAUAAAAUUAAUAUUUUAUUGGGGUGAUAAAAAAAUUAAAAUAACUUUUUUAUUAAUUGAACAAAAAUAAUUGAAAAAUUGAUCCAUAAUUUAUGAUUAAAAGAAAUAAUUACCUUAGGGAUAACAGCGUAAUAUUUUUUUUUAGUACAAAUAAAAAAAAAGUUUGCGACCUCGAUGUUGGAUUAAGAUAAAAUUUAAAUGCAAAAGUUUAAAAUUUUGAUCUGUUCGAUCAUUAAAAUCUUACAUGAUCUGAGUUCAAACCGGUGUGAGCCAGGUUGGUUUCUAUCUUUAAAAUUAUAAAAUAUUUUAGUACGAAAGGAUCAAAUAUUUUUAAUAAUUAAAAUUAUAUUGAAUAUUAAUAAAAUUAAAAUAAUUA
rnacentral:rRNA from 1 species